GGCUUAGUAGUGUAGUGGUUAUCACGUUCGCCUCACGUGCGAAAGGUCCCCGUUUCGAAGCCG
rnacentral:tRNA from 1 species